GACGAACGCUGGCGGCGUGCCUAAUACAUGCAAGUCGAGCGGACGAAUCGAAAGCUUGCUUUUGAUUCGUUAGCGGCGGACGGGUGAGUAACACGUGGGCAACCUGCCCUGUAGACGGGGAUAACACCGAGAAAUCGGUGCUAAUACCGGAUAACACGAAAUGUCGCAUGACGUUUCGUUGAAAGACGGCGCAAGCUGUCGCUACAGGAUGGGCCCGCGGCGCAUUAGCUAGUUGGUGAGGUAACGGCUCACCAAGGCGACGAUGCGUAGCCGACCUGAGAGGGUGAUCGGCCACACUGGGACUGAGACACGGCCCAGACUCCUACGGGAGGCAGCAGUAAGGAAUCUUCCGCAAUGGACGAAAGUCUGACGGAGCAACGCCGCGUGAGCGAAGAAGGCCUUCGGGUCGUAAAGCUCUGUUGUUAGGGAAGAACAAGUAACGCAGUAACUGGCGUUACCGUGACGGUACCUAACGAGAAAGCCACGGCUAACUACGU
rnacentral:rRNA from 1 species